rnacentral:tRNA from 1 species
GUCCAGGGAAUCGAACCCACAGUGUUCCGCUUACCGGGCAAAUGCCAUGUCCACUAGGCUACCCUGGA